AUGACGUCCAAGACUGCUUUCCUGGCGGCUUUCAUGGUCACUUUUUCUGCCCAUCCCCCGACCCCCCCUGAGCUGGUGGUGCUGGCCCCCUCCCAGGCCCUCUCCUCUGGGGACAGGCCUACUGUGGUGUGCCUGGCUCAGGGCUUCUACCCUGAUGGUGCCACCCUGAGCUGGUCAGAGGAUGGCAAAGAAGUGGCGGCCACUGACUUCCAGACGGGCCCGUCUCAGCGCCAGUCUGAUGGCACCUUCUCCCUCAGCAGCGUCCUGACGGUGCAGCCGCAACGCUGGCACUCUGGCCGUUCCUACAGCUGCCAGCUGCAGCACUCUGCCCUCUCCAGGCCUCUGAGCAAGGCUGUGGACAACGCUCACUGCAGCUAGACAGGCUACAGUGGACAACGCUCACUGCAGCUAG